rnacentral:rRNA from 1 species
CUACGGGAGGCAGCAGUCGAGAAUCUUCGGCAAUGGGCGCAAGCCUGACCGAGCGACGCCGCGUGUGCGAUGAAGGCCUUCGGGUUGUAAAGCACUGUCAGGGGGGAGUAAAGGAAACUUGAACUAUCCCCAGAGGAAGCACGGGCUAAGUUCGUGCCAGCAGCCGCGGUAAGACGAACCGUGCGAACGUUGUUCGGAAUCACUGGGCUUAAAGGGCGCGUAGGCGGGCAUGUAGGUCCAGGGUGAAAUCCCCCGGCUCAACCGGGGAACUGCCUUGGAAACCCCACGCCUUGAGGGAGACAGGGGCACAUGGAACUUCCAGUGGAGCGGUGAAAUGCGUAGAGAUUGGAAGGAACGCCGGUGGCGAAAGCGAUGUGCUGGAUCUCUUCUGACGCUGAGGCGCGAAAGCGUGGGGAGCAAACAGGAUUAGAAACCCCGGUAGUCC